CCCAACGCGGUUUCUACGAAAAAGAAAGACAACCAAUGUCUUUGCUUUUCUCCUCUUCUCGCUCCUUUUCUUCUCUCCCUUUAUAUAUUCAGUGCCAAAGCCCUUGCUCACCAAUCCGACGUGAGAGAGAGGGGUAGAGACGGGUGAUGGAAGUUUUUGGAGAUGGGUGGAUUGGCAAAACGCUCCCUUCCUCUUUCCCAUCUAUUGUAUUUGUAAUAAUAUAUGCAAUGAAGUUGAUUUUGCCAGCUCCGCCCAUUCCAAACAUUUCCGCUGCUUCUCUCUGUCCCUUGUGUCUCUCAUCCAAUAAAUACUUGGGUUGAGUGAAAAUAAAAAGGAGGAAGAGGGAAAGGGAGAGAGUGGUGUUGGGAGUAAUAGGUAUGGGGGGUAUGGGCAGGUUUGUGUUUUUUUAAGGCACAAUUCUUCCCAACACCUCCCAUACCCUUCAUUUCCAACCGUUGCUCCCCUUCCCUACCCUUUUUCAGAGAUGUCUCCAUCAAUUUCAAGAUCUGUAAUAUUGGGUGUUUAUUAUUUUGUCGCUGUGUUCUCAAAGAAGUCGACGGCUAUAGAUGCUUUCCAUAAAUAAGUAAAAAGAGCUACAGAUGCCACAUGUGAUAUGUUUGACGAUAGGAUAGAUCAACGACGUAGGAUGCUUGUUAGUCAAAUAAAGUCAAUGGGAAUAAAUUAGUAUAAGGAUGAGUAUUCGGUCGAGUUGAAUCAAGUUAAAAAAUUUUGAGUUAGUUGAGUUGACAAAUCUUAUUUUAGCAAUUGAACUCAUUUUAAAUAUUUUUCGAAUCAAGUCAAAAAAUUUUGAGUUGAGUCGAGUCGAAUUAACGAAUCUUAUUAUUUAUAUUUAAUGUUCUGUUUACAUGAACUGAUUAUUUUACUAGUAGACAAA